CGCCGUUAACUUGCGGCGGUGGAAAAAUUCAUCGGCGGAAGCUGGCACCUAACGAUGGACUUAUCCCCACGAUACUCAUCUACAGAUAUAGCAGGCUUUAAAACCACAUCUUCAGAAGACGAAGAAUUGAACAAACUAUAGUAAACACACAGAAAAUUGUCACUGGUACGAAGUUUAUUAGAAACAAUGAGCAGCAAGUGGUCAGGCAACAAGACCCUAUCCUCAACUAUCAAAGACAGGGAUCUAGCACCAAAGGAAUCUCGAGUUAGAGCCAGACGAGCAGGCAAAAGCGACAAAGAAGCGGGUACAUAGAGAACUGGGCGAAAAGACCCAGUACGGAUAGGCGAGCGAUCUGAAGAAAUGAAGAGGAGAAAGACGAAAAAAGACAAGCAAACGGUUAAAGACCUUACAGAAAAGAAGUUGGCGUUCGGUUUGUAUAUUCGCUUUCGCUUGCGGCGCUGCUCAGAAUCCAUUAUUCGGUGGAAAUGAAGAAACAAAGAGAAAGAAGCAAAAUUGGAUUUUGAAGGAUGGUUUUGCAAGCAGAUCUGAAGCAGACAGUAGCUGUUCUUGGUCUCUUGAUUUAUGGGAUUGUUGAUUUUCGUCGGAGAGAAAGGAAAAAGGGCAGCAAAACGCGUAAAUGAUGAGAGGACGGUGGCAGCGAAGAAGGAAGGAAAAUGAGCAUAUGUUUGGACACUUGUUUUUGAGGAAGGAGGAAGGAAUUGUUUUCCUUCUCUCUCGCAUAAAUGGAAAGAAAAGGGGAGGGGAGGGGAGGUAGAUCAGGACUGGACGGG
rnacentral:misc_RNA from 1 species